UUUUUUUUUUAUCCAAGUGUGAAAGUACUUGUUUGCAUAUGGACUGUUGUUUUCUGUUUUUCGCCAUGAUCAUGAUGCUUGUGUCAAUCCCUGUUCGACUUAUGAGUGUUGUUCAUCAUCCUUUAUUGAGGAUCUGGUUUACAGAAUAGAGAAUAAUUGACAAAAAAGUAGAGAUAAGGGAUAAAAAAAGGUAAUGUACAUAAAACAGGCUUCAAAGAAAAGAAAAGAGUAAAAAACAACUGAUGAAGAAAAAGGGCCAAAAACAAAUAGAAUUUAGUAAAAUAGGCAAAAAAAAUAAAAGAAUAGGUAAUAAUGGCCAACAAUGGGCAAAAAGUUUUAAAAAGAAAGAGAGAGAGAUGACAAUUCUUUUUUAAAAGGUAAAAGAUUGGAGAAUAAUCCAGCACAGAAAUAUAA
rnacentral:lncRNA from 1 species